rnacentral:rRNA from 1 species
UACAGAGGUCCCAAGCGUUGUUCGGAUUCACUGGGCGUAAAGGGUGCGUAGGCGGCCGGGUAAGUCUGAUGUGAAAUCCCGCAGCUUAACUGCGGAACUGCAUCGGAUACUCUCCGGCUAGAGGAAUGGAGGGGAGACUGGAAUUCAUGGUGUAGCAGUGAAAUGCGUAGAGAUCAUGAGGAAGACCAGUGGCGAAGGCGGGUCUCUGGACAGUUCCUGACACUGAGGCACGAAGGCCAGGGGAGCAAACGGG